UACGUAGGGACCGAGCGUUGUCCGGAAUCAUUGGGCGUAAAGAGCGUGUAGGCGGCCUGUUAAGUCUUGCGUGAAAUCUCGGGGCUCAACCCCGAGCGGUCGUGAGAAACUGGCAGGCUAGAGUGCGGGAGAGGAGAGUGGAAUUCCAGGUGUAGCGGUGAAAUGCGUAGAUAUCUGGAGGAAUACCGGUGGCGAAGGCGGCAUCUGGACCAUUACUGACGCUGAGGCGCGAAAAGCUAGGGGAGCAAACGGGG
rnacentral:rRNA from 1 species